CGGAGGAGCAUGUGGUUUAAUUCGAUGAUACGCGAGGAACCUUACCUGGGCUCGAACGUAAGAUGACUGUAGGUGAAAGCUUACAUCUCUUCGGAGCAUUUUACGAGGUGCUGCAUGGUUGUCGUCAGCUCGUGCCGUGAGGUGUCGGGUUAAGUCCCAUAACGAGCGCAACCCCUACCUUUAGUUGCCAUCAGGUUAAGCUGGGGACUCUAAAGGAACUGCCUACGCAAGUAGUGAGGAAGCGGGGAUGACGUCAAAUCAGCACGGCCCUUACGUCCAGGGCUACACACGUGCUACAAUGGCCGAUACAGAGGGCAGCUACCUGGUGACAGGAUGCAAAUCUCCAAAGUCGGUCUCAGUUCGGAUCGGAGUCUGCAACCCGACUCCGUGAAGUUGGAUUCGCUAGUAAUCGCGCAUCAGCCAUGGCGCGGUGAAUACGUUCCCGGGCCUU
rnacentral:rRNA from 1 species